GGGGUCGCGUCCUAUCAGCUUGACGGCGGGGUAACGGCCCACCGUGGCUUCGACGGGUAGCCGGCCUGAGAGGGCGACCGGCACAUUGGGACUGAGAUACGGCCCAGACUCCUACGGGAGGCAGCAGUGGGGAAUAUUGCACAAUGGGCGCAAGCCUGAUGCAGCGACGCCGCGUGAGGGAUGGAGGCCUUCGGGUUGUAAACCUCUUUUAUCGGGGAGCAAGCGAGAGUGAGUUUACCCGUUGAAUAAGCACCGGCUAACUACGUGCCAGCAGCCGCGGUAAUACGUAGGGUGCAAGCGUUAUCCGGAAUUAUUGGGCGUAAAGGGCUCGUAGGCGGUUCGUCGCGUCCGGUGUGAAAGUCCAUCGCUUAACGGUGGAUCCGCGCCGGGUACGGGCGGGCUUGAGUGCGGUAGGGGAGACUGGAAUUCCCGGUGUAACGGUGGAAUGUGUAGAUAUCGGGAAGAACACCAAUGGCGAAGGCAGGUCUCUGGGCCGUUACUGACGCUGAGGAGCGAAAGCGUGGGGAGCGAACAGGAUUAGAUACCCUGGUAGUCCACGCCGUAAACGGUGGAUGCUGGAUGUGGGGCCCGUUCCACGGGUUCCGUGUCGGAGCUAACGCGUUAAGCAUCCCGCCUGGGGAGUACGGCCGCAAGGCUAAAACUCAAAGAAAUUGACGGGGGCCCGCACAAGCGGCGGAGCAUGCGGAUUAAUUCGAUGCAACGCGAAGAACCUUACCUGGGCUUGACAUGUUCCCGACGGUCGUAGAGAUACGGCUUCCCUUCGGGGCGGGUUCACAGGUGGUGCAUGGUCGUCGUCAGCUCGUGUCGUGAGAUGUUGGGUUAAGUCCCGCAACGAGCGCAACCCUCGCCCCGUGUUGCCAGCGGAUUAUGCCGGGAACUCACGGGGGACCGCCGGGGUUAACUCGGAGGAAGGUGGGGAUGACGUCAGAUCAUCAUGCCCCUUACGUCCAGGGCUUCACGCAUGCUACAAUGGCCGGUACAACGGGAUGCGACGCGGCGACGCGGAGCGGAUCCCUGAAAACCGGUCUCAGUUCGGAUCGCAGUCUGCAACUCGACUGCGUGAAGGCGGAGUCGCUAGUAAUCGCGAAUCAGCAACGUCGCGGUGAAUGCGUUCCCGGGCCUUGUACACACCGCCCGUCAAGUCAUGAAAGUGGGCAGCACCCGAAGCCGGUGGCCUAACCCCUUGUGGGAUGGAGCCGUCUAAGGUGAGGCUCGUG
rnacentral:rRNA from 1 species